UACAGAGGUCUCAAGCGUUGUUCGGAUUCAUUGGGCGUAAAGGGUGCGUAGGUGGCGCUGUAAGUCGGGUGUGAAAUUUCGGAGCUUAACUCCGAAACUGCAUUCGAUACUGCGGUGCUUGAGGACUGGAGAGGAGACUGGAAUUCAUGGUGUAGCAGUGAAAUGCGUAGAUAUCGUAAGGAAGACCAGUGGCGAAGGCGGGUCUCUGGACAGUUCCUGACGCUGAGGCACGAAGGUCAGGGGAGCAAACGGG
rnacentral:rRNA from 1 species